rnacentral:rRNA from 1 species
AACGGGAAGGACCGGCGUUAUUCGUAUGUAUACGGCGUAAAGGGUACGUAGACGAACUUGAGAACAUUAUAUUGAAAAACUAUAACUAAAACUAUAGUAGCUAUAUAAUAACCUUAGGGAUAGAGUUGUGACUACGUUGUUAGAAUUUUUUGUGGAGUGGGGUUAAAUCCAACGAUACGAAGAGGAAUGCUUAUUGUGAAGACAAAUUUCUGGGUUACAACCGACGUUCAGGUACGGAGGUGUGAAUAUCAAACGGG